UAGUUCUUAUGGGUUCUGCAUAAGGAUUCAUCAUGGUGAUUUAUGUUAUGCGCAGGCUGGUGUACUAGGAAAAAUUACGAAUAUACAAGAAGAAGCUAGGGCAAUAUUGGAGGCGUUAAGAUUUUGGGCAACUAUGCAGAGAAAGUCAUAGAAACAGACUCCCUUGUGAUGAUUAAGAUCAUCAAGAAACAUGGAAAGUGCCUUGGGAAGUAGUAGAGGUGGUGAAAGAGAUCAAGGAGGCAGUGUCAAAACAAGGUGUUAAACUACAACAUAUCUUUAGAGAGGGAAAUCAACUAGCAGCUUAUCUAGCUAAUCAUGC
rnacentral:lncRNA from 1 species